GUCCAAUUUAUUUAUUUAAAUUUUAAUAUUUUGCUAGUAUUUAACAAGUAUUUCCACAAGUUUGCUUUUUACAGAUAUAGUCGAUGUCCUCACAGCGAAAUAAGAAAAUCUUCCCGAUCUCAAAAGCCAAGAAAAGCUUGAAUUUUUAUGAGUGUAUAAUUGUCUUAUUUUGCUGUCAAGAUUUUACGACCUUUGAAAAGUACUAUUCCGAAUAAAUAAUUACAUUUAUAAUAUUUUCUGAAUGCGAUAAAAUCUGUGUGCUUGUUGUAAACAAACAAUUCCAUGGUAGUAUUGGAUUGUUCCAGAAAAGAUCCAAACUCCCUCAACAGAGAACAGUUGUACUGUCUUGGGGGGGGGGG